AGUGAACGCUGGCGGCAGGCCUAACACAUGCAAGUCGAACGGCAGCACGGCAGUAGCAAUACUGUGGGUGGCGAGUGGCGGACGGGUGAGGAAUACAUCGGGAUCUACCCUGUUGUGGGGGAUAACGUAGGGAAACUUACGCUAAUACCGCAUAAGAACUGAGGUUGAAAGCGGCGGACCGCAAGGUGUCGCGCGAUUGGAUGAACCGAUGUCCGAUUAGCUAGUUGGCGGGGUAAAGGCCCACCAAGGCGACGAUCGGUAGCUGGUCUGAGAGGACGACCAGCCACACUGGAACUGAGACACGGUCCAGACUCCUACGGGAGGCAGCAGUGGGGAAUAUUGGACAAUGGGCGCAAGCCUGAUCCAGCCAUGCCGCGUGGGGUGAAAGAAGGGCCCUUCGGGUUGG
rnacentral:rRNA from 1 species